AGCAUGGGACUGAUCCAGAUACCCUCCUACCGAACCUGGGUGACAGAGAGGAGGCCUUGAAUUUCUACAGAAGCUCCCACUUUGAAGAGACUGUGCUGUUUGCCUUCCAGUGGUUACUUACAUUUCCUCCUCCUGAAGAAACGUAAAUCAGGGAAAUGUUAAGGAAGAAGUCUUGGCUGAAGCCCACUCAGAGGUAAAUGGCAUCUAUUCCAAGAACAGAACUGAGACAGAUGUGGACAGCAGAGGACAUUUCAGAGAUACCAAGGAGUGACUGUUGAGAGAUCUGCUCAUACAGAGUGUCCUGCUGAAUGACAUGAAGGCACUCGGAAGCAAAUGCCGUCAUCUAAAAUUACCUUAAUGUGACCUAUUUCCCAACCUCCCCCUCUUACUAUUACUUUCUUAUAAAUGCUUUGUUCUUUAAGUUAA